GAUGAACGCUGGCGGCGUGCCUAAUACAUGCAAGUCGAGCGAACAGACGAGGAUCUUGCUCCUCUGACGUUAGCGGCGGACGGGUGAGUAACACGUGGAUAACCUACCUAUAAGGCUGGGAUAACUUCGGGAAACCGGAUCUAGUACCGGAUAAGAUAUUGAACCGCAUGGUUCAAUAGUGAAAGACGGUUUUGCUGUCACUUAUAGAGGGAUCCGCGCCGCAUUAGCUAGUUGGUAAGGUAACGGCUUACCAAGGCAACGAUGCGUAGCCGACCUGAGAGGGUGAUCGGCCACACUGGAACUGAGACACGGUCCAGACUCCUACGGGAGGCAGCAGUAGGGAAUCUUCCGCAAUGGGCGAAAGCCUGACGGAGCAACGCCGCGUGAGUGAUGAAGGUCUUCGGAUCGUAAAACUCUGUCAUUAGGGAAGAACAAAAGUGUAAGUAACCAUGCACGUCUUGACGGUACCUACUCAGAAAGCCACGGCUAACUACGUG
rnacentral:rRNA from 1 species